GCCUGAAUGGAUGGCGCUCUAGCGUCGUGCUUAUACCGGGCCGUCAACGGCACAGUGGGCAGUUGUGGUUUACCACAGCUGCCGUUAAGUCUUGACGAGUAAGAGGGUCGCGACGGUGAGCGCAGAAGGGUCAGGGCGUGAGCCUGCCUGGAGCCGCCGUUGGUGCAGAUCUUGGUGGUAGUAGCAAAUACUCUAGCGAGGGCCUGGAGGACUGACGUGGAGAAGGGUUUCUUGUGAACAGCCGUUGCACAAGAGUCAGUCGAACCUGAGCCCUAGGAGAAAUCCGAUGACGAUGGGUGGCUUGACAAAUAUGUGGUGCUGCCGCUGUUGCUGCAACAUACACAGAUUACACACAGACCACUGAAAUAGUGAGUUGAGACUGUCCGCUGUCGUGUUGUAGUUGACACACACACCAAUUUUCUUGUACACUGAACAACUGUUGUAGAUGCUUCACAGUCAACAGUCCGCUGUUGUGCUGUAGUCGACACACACACCAGUUUUCUUGUAUGUAGAACAAUUGUUGUAGAUGCUUCACACUCGACUGAACAGCUCCUAUUGGGCAAAAGGGAAUCCGGUUCCUAUUCCGGAACCCGGCUGCGUAACCGCUACUUUGCGGGCACUUGCUUGCGAGCGCUCGUCGGGGUAACCCAAAAUGGCCUGGAGACGCCGGCGGGGGGUCUGGAGAGAGUUUUCUUUUCCUUAUAAGCGUUCGAGCACCCUGGAAUCCUAUAGCAGGGAGAUAGGGUCUGGAACGCGAAGAGCACCGCAGUUGCGGCGGUGUCUGGACCUUCCCCCCCGGACCUUGAAAAUCCAGGUGAGGGCCACGCGGAAAUCGCACCGGAUCGUACCCAUAUCCGCAGCAGGUCUCCAAGGUUAAGAGCCUCUAGUCGAUAG
rnacentral:rRNA from 1 species